UGUAGGGUUAGAUUUUAGGGUUGAUUAAGGGUUAAGGUUAGGGUUAGGUGUAGGGUUUGAUUUUAGGGUUGAUUAAGGUUUAAGGUUAGGGUUAGGUGUAGGGUUAGAUUUUAGGGUUGAUUAAGGUUUAAGGUUAGGGUUAGGUGUAGGGUUAGAUUUUAGGGUUGAUUAAGGGUUAAGGUUAGGGUUAGGUGUAGGGUUAGAUUUUAGGGUUGAUUAAGGGUUAAGGUUAGGGUUAGGUGUAGGGUUUGAUUUUAGGGUUGAUUAAGGGUUAAGGUUAGGGUUAGGUGUAGGGUUAGAUUUUAUGGUUGAUUAAGGGGUAA